UACGUAGGGGGCAAGCGUUGUCCGGAUUUAUUGGGGCGUAAAGAGCGUGUAGGCGGCUAGGUAGGUCCGUUGUGAAAACUCGAGGCUCAACCUCGAGACGCCGAUGGAAACCAUCUGGCUAGAGUCCGGAAGAGGAGAGUGGAAUUCCUGGUGUAGCGGUGAAAUGCGCAGAUAUCAGGAAGAACACCAACGGCGAAGGCAGCUCGCUAGGACGGUACUGACGCUGAGACGCGAAAGCGUGGGGAGCGAACAGG
rnacentral:rRNA from 1 species